UUAGGAAUCUCUCCUUAGGGGCCUCACUCAGCCUUUUUAACAGCCUUCGCUUUAGGUAGGGGGGAAUGCACCUCAAACUUCUGUAGCUUGUUCAUUUUUAUAAGGGUCCUGGCAGAUGAAAGAAAUACCCUGCAUCCUGAGAGCACACUAAAGUCAAGUACUACUCCCUAAACAUGUCUGCUGUCUACAUCUGUAUUUACUCUUUGGUGUUCAGCUAUUUGAUAAACUCUAGUAUUGGGCUGAUUUUACUUUGGGUAGAGGAUUAUAUUCUAAAGAUCCAUCUUCUUAAACUACUCAUUGCAGAUCCUGCUUAAUAACCUUCAGUGUCACUUUUAAGGUAUGGUCCAUAACACAGUAUCAGGCCAGGUUUCUCAAUGAGGUCACUAAUACAUGAGAGUAAACUUACAUAAAGUUCCCUAACUAAACUAAGACAGCUGAAUUGUUGCCUUAUUUCAUUUUAAUUUUUAGGAAAGUGUCAGGAUUCGGUGUGUAGUAGGGAAAUGUAGUGCUGUGAGAGGGAGAGGUGUGAGGAGCUCAUUGGCUGGCUGAGUACCCAGGCAAUAGUAGUGUCCAAGUGGCUUGAGGAACCCUGAGGAAAGGCACAGAGCUCAGAACCAGAUCAGCAGCAGCAUCACCAGGUGUUGCAGCCCCACCUACUGCCCUAAGUCGAGGAGAGUGACCUGAACAACCUGGUCAAGGUGGAGGGUCUAGUAAGCAAGAGGAUUUUAUUUUAUUUUUUUUAUGGUUCCCACGAAAGCACAAGGUUUUAGGUAGUUCUCAAGAAACUGAGUUAAAACCCUAAGACUAUGUCCAGAUCACUCAUAAAAUCCAGGAAACACCAUUUAGGGAUUCCUAAGGAAGGAACAUAACAGAGAACUUUCUUUGGGUUAAGGAAGACCUAUUUCUGUUUGUGCUCCCAGAUCAGAGGAUCUUGCAGAGGACUUAAGUCCAUACAUAAAGAGACACUGCAAUCACAGAAAUCUGGGCACUGUUAUCUGAAACACCUAGUUAAACCCGGAAGACCUCUCAGUUGCCAUCUUGAAAGGAGUCUAGGAUAAGUUUUGCAGCCUUUGACUUAUCAGAAGAGAACAUUUUCCCUCCUCAAGUAAGUUAUGCCUCAAGUAAUGGACACUGUUCUGGAAAUUUUAUAAUUUGCCUUUUGAAGCAUAUCUUUUUGCAACAGGACUGAAAGCAAAUAAAUGGAAUUUUUACAGGCUUUUUCUUCUUUCAAUGAACAAAAAAUAGGAGGCUACCUACAUAUGGUAUCAAAACUGAAUCACAAGAGGCAUUUAUAAAUCUUGAUAGAGGGCUUGGGAAAAAAAUAGAAGGGGCUUCUGUGAACCCCUGAGACAUGACUGCACAAAUAUAUUGUUGUUCUCCCCAGGCAAAGGCAAAACGUUACUCCUGGUCUAGAGGCACACUCAGAAAAGGCAAGGCAGAGAUCACUUGUUCACAGUGAAGCAAGUGGCUUUAGGCAGAAUUGAUGACAGGGUGACAUGUGAGUUGGGAAAUAAAAUCCCCCUGUCUGCGAGGCUGCCACUAACGAUAGGUUUGCAGGGCCUGUGCCUGUGUCCUACUUGUGAUUCUUCUCAUGACAAAUCACACUUUCAGACAGCACAACUCUAGUUAGUAACACAAAUAACAGCAAGAGGGAAGAAAAGAGUGGCUUGGUUCUAUCAAGGAUGUCACUCAUCUAGGAACUGAUAACGAAACCAGAGGACAAAAAUCAAAAUAAACACCCACGAUGCUUAACAAGAAGAGAGCAGAGUUCAGAACUGGCACUGCUUGAUCACAUCACGGUGCAGGAAGCAGCAAAGCAUGAGGCAUCCCACAGUUGAUUGAUGGCUGGGCUCUGAGAUGAUGGGCAGUGCCAACCAUAUCUUGAUGGAACCUCCAAGAAAACUGGAAAUAAAUGAAGGUCACUCAAAUGAGC
rnacentral:lncRNA from 1 species